AAUUACACACAUCUAUGUCUCCUGGGUCCCUAACCUUUCUCUGAUUUGAUGUGGAAUUAGGACAAAGAUAACAUGAUCACAGAUUUCCCUAAAAAUGGAGUGUAGCAUCUUGCAAGGUAGAAUGUAAGCUCCCUGAAGACAAGGGAGUGAUACUUCUCCACCUGAUCCAAGUGGUCCAGCCUUCCCACAGACCCUGGUGAAUGGACACCUUCAUCUUCCUCUAGUCCCACUCUGAGUUACAGAAGCAGUGGAAACAUCACUUUGCAAGAGACUGAUGGCUCUCUAAUGAGAACUUAGAGCAAAUCACUCAGUUGUCAGUUCAGCAUCUGGCAGAGCUCAGAAAAAUCUGCCAAACACACGGUCUGGACUGGUGAUACUUCAGGAUACUUCAGGUGAUACCACAAGGGGAUCACCUCCUGCAUUGAAAGCGAGUUUUUUUUUUUACCACUGAGUCACCAGGGAAGACCCUAGAAGGUAUAGUGAAUACUAAUUAUGACAAAGCUCAGCUAGAUGGGAGCUGGAGUAUGGAGUUGGGGAAGAGAACAGAAAAGCAAAACAAAAUAAGCAAACAAAAUGAUGGAGACAGCAGACAAACAGGGCCAUGCAGCCUGCAGAAUCUUAGCUCCCUGACCAGGGAUAGAACCCAUACACCUGGCAGUGGAAGCACAAAAUCUUAACUGGAAGAUCACCAGGGAAGUACCCAGAAUGAGUCAUUUUAAAUCGAAAACAGAUAAACUGUUCUCGACCCAUCCCCCUGAUUUAUUUAUCAAAAGAAAAAAAAAAAAAAGAUCCCUUUAAAAAAGUGUGUGGAAUAAAAGGUAUGCGGAACUGAAAUUUAUGAUUUAUAGAAACCAAAAAAUAUAUUUAAAAAUCACAU
ensembl:lncRNA